UACAGAGGUCUCAAGCGUUGUUCGGAUUCAUUGGGCGUAAAGGGUGCGUAGGCGGCGCGGUAAGUCGGGUGUGAAAUCUUGGAGCUUAACUCCGAAACUGCAUUCGAUACUGCCGUGCUUAAGGACUGGAGAGGAGACUGGAAUUUACGGUGUAGCGGUGAAAUGCGUAGAUAUCGUAAGGAAGACCAGUGGCGAAGGCGGGUCUCUGGACAGUUCCUGACGCUGAGGCACGAAGGCCAGGGGAGCAAACGGG
rnacentral:rRNA from 1 species